rnacentral:tRNA from 3 species
AGUAAAAUCAGCUAAAUAAGCUAUUGGGCUCAUGACCCUAAAAAUGUUGGAUAAACCCCUUCUUUUACUA